rnacentral:rRNA from 1 species
UUCCGGUUGAUCCUGCCGGAGGCGACCGCUUUGGGAGUUCGAUUAAGCCAUGCGAGUCGUGAGUCUUAGGGACUCGGCAUACUGCUCAGUAACACGUGGAUAACCUGCCCUAUCGUCUGGAAUAACCUCGGGAAACUGAGAAUAAGGCCGGAUAGUUCACAAUGCCUGGAACGGUUUGUGAAUCAAGGUAGGAUGGGUCUGCGGCGUAUCAGGUUGUAGGGGGUGUAAAGGACCCCCUAGCCUUCGACGCGUACGGGUGUUGGGAGACAUAGCCCGGAGAUGGAUUCUGAGACACGAAUCCAGACCCUACGGGGUGCAGCAGGCGCGAAAACUUCACACUGCAGGAAACUGUGAUGAGGGAACUCCUAGUGCAUGCACUAUGUGUAUGUAGAUCCUACUCUUAACAAGUAGAGGGAAAGGGCUGGGAAAGACCGGUGCCAGCCGCCGCGGUAAUACCGGCAGCUCAAGUGGUCGUCGCUUUUAUUGGGCCUAAAACGUCCGUAGCCUGUUUGGUAAAUCCGUGGGUAAAUCAAUCCGCUCAACGGAUUGAAUUCUGCAGAGACUGCCAGACUAGGGACCGGGAGAGGUGUGGGGUACUCGAGGGGUAGGGGUAAAAUCCUGUCAUCCUUCGAGGACCACCAGUUGCGAAGGCGCCACACUGGAACGGAUCCGACGGUCAGGGACGAAGCCUAGGGGCACGAACCGGAUUAGAUACCCGGGUAGUCCUAGGUGUAAACGCUGUGAACUUGGUGUCGGGGGUCCGCAAGGGGUCCCCGGUGCCGGAGUGAAGAUGUUAAGUUCACUGCCUGGGGAGUACGGUCGCAAGGCU